GCACUACACCUGCUUGUUUUGAGGCCAUCCCACGUGACCCUUUUUUCACUGCUUAAAAAAGACCCAAAAAAAAAAUGUUAAGUAUCACCGUCCGUCAACGAAUCCUCUGCCGCGCCUCGAGCCUCCGGGGCAGCUUUCGCUCUCUCUGGUUUGAAAGCAUCUUAUCAAUUCUGGAAGAAAAAUAAAAAUUUUGGCCCUAGUUUUGUAUGAAACUGAAUGCAGUUGAAGGAGUAAUUGAAUCUUCUUUGAAUCCUUCUACUGCUAUUUUUCUUUUCUUUAUCUGCUUUGAAUCUCUCACAGGUACUAUUAAUUUCAGUAUCUCUUGAGGAAUCGAAUCUGGUGCACGGAUUCCUUUUACGCACUGUUUUGUUGCUUAUAAAUUGGGGAAAACAAGAAAAGAAAAGGAAAAUUUUGAUAUACUUGUGUGUUUUCAUUUUCCUUUGCCUCAUUCUUAAUUAGUGACCUUACUCUCUGGAUGCAAUCCAUAUAGAAUGAUAGCUUUUACUUUACCUUCAUGCAAUAGAGAAUUUAUUCCUACCUAGGUGUAGUUAAACAAAAAUAAAAUAUUAAUAUAAAUAUCACUGACAACAACAACAACAACAAUAAUAAUAAUAAUAAUAAAAUUCUUCUUGCUUCCACAAUAAAUCUAGUUGCAGUGAUAUCUUCAAAUGAAACUACAAAUUUCAUAAAAUUUAAUAUACCAUUUUAUAGAUCAUUGAAGUUUUAGAUUGUGAAUGGUCUUUGGCUGGUUCAUACAAAACUUGUGAAUAGACUAUAUAUAUGUUGGCCAUAUAUAAUUCAUUUGACCUUGUAAAGUGUAAUAAGCGGUAAUAAAGCCAAGGUAGAAUCUUGAAGGUUGUUUCAAUUAAAUAUAGAACACAAUUUUUGGACUUAUAAAUAGGUCCUAAAUUCACAUUUUAGGUUGAAUUUCUAUUGAUAUUGCAACUAGGACGAGUGAUGUAGAGAGAAUGAAAUGAAGCAAUCCAAGUUCAAGAGGAUUUGUGUCUUCUGUGGGACUAGCCACGGCAAGAAGAGCAGCUACCAAGCAAUCCACAUUUGUGUCUUCUGAAGAAGAAUUAUUUUUAGUGGUUUCUCUCGUCUUAAUAGCUAAAUUCAAAUAAUGGGGAAAAUAAAUGGUAUAUUGGCUUGAGGUGAUGCUUAUCAGUGUUGGCUUAAAAUCUGUGUGAAUCAAGAAACCCCUUUCUAGAAUAUGCAGCGCAAUAUGCUGUAGGAGCAGCCCUUGCGACAUUGGAAAAGGAUAAAAAGGAUUUGUUACACAACUACUUUUACAAGGUCUUGACAUUACAAUUUUAGGUUGCAAUGACUUCUAUUCAUAUCGGAAUCAGGUGGGGUUUAUCAUGUGAGAUUGGAAAAGGGAAAGUUUUCUGCAGUUUACAGUAGUCAAUGAUAUGUUCGCUUUUCACCAUAAGUGCUUUCUUCUGCUCAGGAUUUUUCAGCUCCAAUGGGGCAGAUUUUGGAUAGACUACAGGCAUUUGGUGAAUUUGAGGGGAUAUGAAUGAGAUAUUUCGUGGAAGUUCAUUUCUUGAAUUAAGAAGUGCAUGAUUUUAUCCUCUGCGGAAAAUAACUCGCUUAAGGUCUUUCUCAUCGGAAAUAGAAAUAACACGUUUUUUAAUUUUUAAUGCAUUUUAAUUUUUGACAUGUGAUUGCAGAAGUCAAUGUUACAUGCCUUAAACGCAAGCAACAAGUAUGGAACCAUUUCUGGGGAUUUUUUUCCUUAUGCACCCAUUGCAACACUUUUUUUUUUUUGGCUAGACAAGUUUACUAACCGAGACUUCCUAUGUACAGGCACUAGGAAACGAAGUUGGGGAUGAUGAAGGCUUUUCUAGAAGUGAAUUUCAGAGCUAUAUCCUGCAGUAGUUGGGCCCUUUUGGUGUCAAGCAUUUUACGACUUAUAAGAUUAG